rnacentral:SRP_RNA from 2 species
GCCGGGCGUGGUGGCGGGUGCCUGUAAUCCCAGCUACUCAGGAGGCUGAGGCAGGAAAAUUGCUUGAACCCAGGAGGUGGAGGUUGCAGUGAGCCAAGAUCAUGCCACUGCAGUCCAGCCUGGGUGACAGAGCAAGAUUCCGUCUCAU